AAACUGGAAUCUCUCUUAAAACUGGCUGGGUAAUUUGCAUCUCGGGUUCAUUUUAUGUUUUACAUGCCACAGCCACAUUUUUGGCCAUAAUUUAAUGGAGCAAGGCUAUAUCGAGAAGUUAUUGAACUGAAUAGAUUAGCAUUUAUAAUUUUAGGAAAAUAUGAACCUUCAGAUGUCAGUCAUAAAGCAGCACUCAGAUGGUUUGGACAUUUGAACCCUGAAAUUAUUUAAAUCACUAGGACUGCUAUUUUAUUUAAUUGCCCAAUAAUACUAUAUACUUUUGUAUUUUUGAAUUUUGUAUAGUUAUUUACAGCUAACCAUUACACUGGAAAGUUAAAAAGGACUCUUAUUUGUUUUUUUCUGAAACAUCACAACCUCAGAUAGUAAUUGAGUAUUACUUUUAAAGUCUUUCAUAUUUUGAAUUUUUCAUUUGGAUUUUCAUAUUUUCAAAUUUUUUUAAAUGGUUCAUUAAGCUAAAUAUGUAUUUUUGUACCUGAUUAUGUAGUUUUAUGAAAUUUUGAGAAAUAAUGCUUACAUUCUAGAGUUGCUCUACAUAGCAAAAAAGAAAAUAGAGGAGCAGAUACAGUGCAAAAAUAAAGGGGAAAAAAACAACAGAUUCUCUCUACAUCUGUUCUGCUGCCUUUUGAAAUGAGGUGCAGUGUUGGUUUACCACAAACACAGAAAGAGGGAAGACAUUUGGGUUUGGGGACACCUGGAGUUUUUUCUAUUACGUGUUUGACACUCAGUGCUGUGAAAGUGCAUUUUAGUUAUUAUAAUAAAAGUUCGAUACACAUUUUCAUAUUUAUUUUCAAAUCAGUUUUGAUUAUUUGCUGCCUUUUUUAUUUGUUUUAAAGCACUGAUGUACAUAAGUGACUGCUGUGGCCAUGGGCCUGACGUUUUGUAUAUAAUCUGAAAUAAAGAUUUUCCAGUUUCAUUUCUGA